AGCUUUGCGCAGUGGCAGUAUCGUAGCCAAUGAGGUUUAUCCGAGGCGCGAUUAUUGCUAAUUGAAAACUUUUUCUGUUUUAGUUAACCAUCAGUUAGUGCCAGUACUCUCUUUUCAGAG
rnacentral:snRNA from 1 species